rnacentral:rRNA from 1 species
GAUGAACGCUGGCGGCGUGCCUAAUACAUGCAAGUCGAGCGAACAGACGAGGAGCUUGCUCCUUUGACGUUAGCGGCGGACGGGUGAGUAACACGUGGGUAACCUACCUAUAAGACUGGGAUAACUUCGGGAAACCGGAGCUAAUACCGGAUAAUAUUUCGAACCGCAUGGUUCGAUAGUGAAAGAUGGCUUUGCUAUCACUUAUAGAUGGACCUGCGCCGUAUUAGCUAGUUGGUAAGGUAACGGCUUACCAAGGCAACGAUACGUAGCCGACCUGAGAGGGUGAUCGGCCACACUGGAACUGAGACACGGUCCAGACUCCUACGGGAGGCAGCAGUAGGGAAUCUUCCGCAAUGGGCGAAAGCCUGACGGAGCAACGCCGCGUGAGUGAUGAAGGUCUUCGGAUCGUAAAACUCUGUUUUUAGGGAAGAACAAACGUGUAAGUAACUGUGCACGUCUUGACGGUACCUAGUCAGAAAGCCACGGCUAACUACGUG